CACAGCAGCAGAGCCCCGAGCCCUACCUGCAGCCUCAGCCUCACGCCCUGACCUGGCACACCAGCUGCUCUUCUCCUCCUGACCAGGAUCCUAAAACACAAGGUCAGAGUAAUGCUUCACGGAAUCAGAGUGGGAGCUGGGAUGUGUGUAGAAGUCCUCAGGAACCAGAGGAACCCCUAAGACUACCAGUAGUCCAUCUUCAGAUAAAACAUUAAAAAUAUUUUAAAGACUAAAUAGAAGAAGCAAAGGGAAGUGUCAUUUGGAAAGGAAGUGUGUCUUGGGAGUCAGGAAA